GACGAACGCUGGCGGCGUGCUUAACACAUGCAAGUCGAACGGAAAGGCCCUGCUUUUGUGGGGUGCUCGAGUGGCGAACGGGUGAGUAACACGUGAGUAACCUGCCCUUGACUUUGGGAUAACUUCAGGAAACUGGGGCUAAUACCGGAUAGGAGCUCCUGCUGCAUGGUGGGGGUUGGAAAGUUUCGGCGGUUGGGGAUGGACUCGCGGCUUAUCAGCUUGUUGGUGGGGUAGUGGCUUACCAAGGCUUUGACGGGUAGCCGGCCUGGGAGGGUGACCGGCCACACUGGGCCGGCGAUACGGGCCAGCCUCCUACGGGAGGCAGCAGUGGGGAAUAUUGCACAAUGGGCGGAAGCCUGAUGCAGCAACGCCGCGUGCGGGAUGACGGCCUUCGGGUUGUAAACCGCUUUCGCCUGUGACGAAGCGUGAGUGACGGUAAUGGGUAAAGAAGCGCCGGCUAACUACGUG
rnacentral:rRNA from 1 species